rnacentral:rRNA from 1 species
UACGUAGGGUGCAAGCGUUGUCCGGAAUUAUUGGGCGUAAAGAGCUCGUAGGCGGUUUGUCGCGUCGAAUGUGAAAACCCGGGGCUCAACCCCGGGCCUGCAUUCGAUACGGGCAGACUAGAGUUCGGUAGGGGAGACUGGAAUUCCUGGGUGUAGCGGUGAAAUGCGCAGAUAUCAAGGAGGAACACCGAUGGCGAAGGCAGGUCUCGUGGGCCGAUACUGACGCUGGAGGAGCGAAAGCGUGGGGAGC